rnacentral:rRNA from 1 species
AACGAACGCUGGCGGCAGGCCUAACACAUGCAAGUCGAGCGGACCCUUCGGGGUUAGCGGCGGACGGGUGAGUAACGCGUGGGAACGUGCCCUUUGCUUCGGAAUAGCCCUGGGAAACUGGGAGUAAUACCGGAUACGCCCUUUUGGGGAAAGAUUUAUCGGCGAAGGAUCGGCCCGCGUUGGAUUAGGUAGUUGGUGGGGUAAUGGCCUACCAAGCCGAUGAUCCAUAGCUGGUUUGAGAGGAUGAUCAGCCACACUGGGACUGAGACACGGCCCAGACUCCUACGGGAGGCAGCAGUGGGGAAUCUUAGACAAUGGGGGAAACCCUGAUCUAGCCAUGCCGCGUGAGCGAUGAAGGCCUUAGGGUUGUAAAGCUCUUUCACCGGGGAAGAUAAUGACGGUACCCGGAGAAGAAGCCCCGGCUAACUCCGUG